AUUGUUCUGCAGCCAAACAUUUCACACAUUAAUCAGAGCUGAGGCUUAAAGUACAAAUGGGGGUGAAUCGGAAAAUGAGCUGAUGAGGUUUGCUGCUCCCAACUGCUUUGAUUUUGCCCUGUGUGCAUGUGUAUGAACAAAAAGAAAUAAAGGAACACAGGGGAAUGGAAGAAAGGGGUCAGAACUAAAAAGUAAAAAAGUCAACCCUUCCAGAAUUUUUACUCCUUCUUUUGCCUUCAGCCAUUCAAGUCUUAUGUGGUCACCUUGUAUAAAUCAAAAACACCAGAGCAUUGUUGCAUGCAUAGUACCACACACAGACUCCCAAAGGGAACUUCAUGUCUUUGAAGGCACAUGGACAUAGCUUUAUAAUUAUGUUAUGUGUGAUUGGGGUUAUAAUACAACACAGGAAAACAAUAAUGAAUAAAAAUUGCCCUUGGAGGGUUUUUCAUUCACUAGAAACAGAUGCAGAGGGAGGGGGAAGUAAUUUGAAGAUUUUCAAUGUAGAAAGAGUCAUGUUUGCUGCUUGUGGACAAGGCAGUGGAAAUAGGAUCAACUCACACAAUAAUAUGUUUGCACUUAAUUAACUCAGAAAUGGGAGUGGGGGUAAGGAGGGUCCCAAAUUUUGCUUUUUCCAGUGGGUUCAGGCAAAAGCAAAUUGCUUCAGCCCCUCCUAACUUGUGAGUUUAUUUUCAUUAAUAACUUUUUUCAUGUUUGGCAUACUCUGAAGUUGCUUGGCCACAUGGCCCCGUUUUCAUCUGGGAAAUAUUGAAAGUUAUGAAAACAGCACUUUGUUUUUUCCUAUUUUUGUUCAAUUCACAUGGGAAUCUAUGCUGUCAUAUGACCUUUCCUAAAUGCUACUAUCUUCAGAGUUCAUUUCUUAAAGUAAGUGUCUAGCUUUUCUGAAAACAGGUUUAAAUUUAUAAGAAGCAAAUGCUCUCCGUCUUGUGAAGAUGCAGACUUCUUUCAAUUGCUCAGGACAGUCAGCAUAAAUUACUCUUUGAAGGAGCAUCUGAGAGCAUACAUCCCCCUCAAACAAGGCGUUUUUCAGCAGAAAUAAAAGGGAAAAAUAAACAAAUAAGAUGGUUUCAAAUCAGCUCUACAUUUUGACUCAUAAAAAGAGGUUAUUGUUUGAUUGAGACCAAAAUACAGAUGCCAGCCAAGCAGCACUGUCAGAACAACUGGAAACAAUUUCAGAAAAACCUCCAAGGACUUUAUCACACAAGGCGGACAAACCAACAUUCAAGCUGGAAGUCUUGAUUGCAUGACCUAAACUGGUGCAAUUUUUAAAUGAUAUUUUUAUAAUUGAUGUUUUUAAUUAUCUGUUUUUAAUUGUAUCAUUUUUAUAACUGUUUGUUUUUGGCAUCUAAUGACUGCUGAUUGUGAAGCCGCCCUGAGCCUCCCCCUCCAGUGGUGACAAGGACAGGAUACAAAUGUAUGAAAUAAGUAAAUGAUAUCAUGUACAUCUCAAUUGGCCUGCCUCCUCCCCAUGAUCAACCAAUCUCUGACUACUUACAGGUGAAAUGUGUCAAUAACUCACAAUCCCACAAUAUUCCCAUCACAUUUUGUGCAAUGGAUCCGUUCCACAUCUCUCCUGAAAUGUCAGGAGUACAGUGAUAUAGGGGUUGGGAUUCUCUUCCUUCUCCAUGCAAUCCCCUCAUGAUGCUCAAGUUUCAGUAGAUCUAUAUUUAUCAUGCAUACUCAUUAAUGGUCUCUUACUUUCCUGUUAUAUUUAAUAGUUUUGAUCCUGACCUCCAUGAGAUGCCUGUACAGUUAUGUUGAGCACUUGAGCAAUGCGACAAAUAUUGAGUUAUCAGGAGAUAUGAGAGGGUGGUAGAUUGAUGCUUCAAGCACAAAAUCAAAGCAUAUCUGGUGUUUCUGUAUUCCAGGUAAAACAAACCAAACAUAGGAUGUGGUGUCAGAGUAUUGGUGGAUCUUAAUGAAUGAGGCCAUUGGUCUGUGGCUGGCUACGGAACAGAGGGAGCUGCAUUGGAUAAAUGCCAGGAUUGAAUGAAACACAGUAAAAGAAUUGUCUGAGCUUCCCGCCAUCUACUCAGAUAUUGAUUAUGAACUAUCAGGAAACACUGUGGAGGCAAAUAGAUAAUACCAGUAGAAGGGACCACCAAGAAGAACAAAAGUAAGAAGAAACUUCAAAUAAAUGUAUCAGAAAAGUA